UACAGAGGGGGCAAGCGUUGUUCGGAAUUACUGGGCGUAAAGGGCGCGUAGGCGGCCUUCUAAGUCGAACGUGAAAUCCCUGGGCUCAACCCAGGAACUGCGUCCGAUACUGGAAGGCUUGAAUCCGGGAGAGGGAUGCGGAAUUCCAGGUGUAGCGGUGAAAUGCGUAGAUAUCUGGAGGAACACCGGUGGCGAAGGCGGCAUCCUGGACCGGCAUUGACGCUGAGGCGCGAAAGCCAGGGAGCAAAGCGGG
rnacentral:rRNA from 1 species